rnacentral:tRNA from 1 species
UGCGGGGUGGAGCAGUGGUAGCUCGUCGGGCUCAUAACCCGAAGGUCAUAGGUUCGAAUCCUGUCCCCGCUA